CUCUCUCUCUCUCUCUCUCACACACACACACACAUACACAUCGUUCCUCUAACCCUGAGAGGCUUUCUCUUGUAAAACUCUUAAGACAUUUGACCGAACGAAUCUAAUAGCUCUUGUUCAGAUGUGCAACUUUAAUGUGCGCUUUUGGUGUCCAUUAACGAAUUUUCACUAACGCUCAACCCUUCCCCUCUUCGGGUAUGAUGACUCUAGACCGUCUCUCUCUCUCCCUCUCUCUCUCUCACAUCGUUCCUCUAACCUUGAGAGGCUUUCUCUUGUAAAACUGUUAGACAUUUGACCGAAUGAAUCUAAUAGCUCUUGUUUAGAUGUGCAACUUUAAUGUGCUCUUUUGGUGUCCAUUGAUGAAUUUUCACUAACGCUCAACCCUUCCCAUCUUCGGGUAUGAUGACUCUAGAUUGUCUUCCGCAAUGUAUAUCGUAUAAUAGCUUUAAGAGGAUGAGAGAGUGUGUUAAGCCUUACAAUGGGCUUGCCAUAAUAAUGUGAUUCAACUUCGACUUGGCGAGAAUCGGACUUAAAGCUGCUCUUACAAGUGAAGAUGAAUACAACUAGACUGUAGUGCUAAGUGAUGCUUUACCAUUAAACGUGUACAACAUAUUUACAUAAAAUAAGUAGUAAUUGUUGAUAGCUUUACCAUUUACACCAAUAUUGUACAAAUAAAGAGUUGUUCGAAAUAUAACCGCUCUUAUUUUACAAACGUACUCCCAAAUUGUGGUGCUUUGAACACUAAGCAAUAGUUAAACUAUAUUUACACAACUUGUCUAUGCUGCUUUUCAAUGCCAUUCCACUCUUGAGAUCGAUUCAUUUUUCUCUUAAAAAACCAAUUCUUUCAUUACUAAUCAAUAUAGCUUAUAAAUGUCAGUUACAAACAUUCUCAAAAUAAAAAACUUCUCGAUUUACCAAUAAGCAGAAAUAAUUAAACUGAGAAGCUACAAAUAUGUAAUACGAUUCCGAUAUGGCGUAAUCAUCAAGAAUCAGAGUAAAAUCGAGUUGGGUCAUAGACUUUUGGAAGAACCUAGAUUAUAAUAUUAGUAAAAUCGAUAUUGUGAAAUUAUGAAAUUGUGAAAUUGUGAAAAUGUGAUAUUGUGAAAUUGUGAAUAUGUCUUAUGGUGAAAUUGUGAAAAUUGUGAAAUUUGUGAAUAUGACAUGUGAAAAUUGUAGUUAAUAUGUGAAAUUGUAGGAAAAUAGAGAAAUUUGAAUAAUUGUAGAAAUAUGUGAGAAUUGUAAUAAAUUUCUGACAAUUGUAGGAAAUAUGUGAAAUUUGUAGGAAAAUAGAAAAAAUGUAAAAAUUGAAGAGAUAUGUGAAAAUUGUAAAAAAUAUGUGAAAUUUGUUGAAAAUUUGUAAAAAUUGUAGAAAUAUGUGAAACUUUGUGAAAUAUUACGAAAAUAGGAAAGAAAUUAAAUUUGUAAGAAAGAAAUUAAAUUCAUAGGAACAAAAUUAAAAUUUGUAGGAGAGAAAUUAAAUUUGUAGUAAGGAAAUUAAAUUUGUAGGAAAAAUAAAUAAAAUUGUAGGGACGAAAUUAAAUUUGUGUGACGAAAUUUAUUGUGUUAUUUUUUCAUAGAUAUCAUUGUGGUUGAUCAAUAGUGGUUGCCACUCUGCCUCCACUUCGGGCCAAAGUGACCCGGGGGUAGAGAUACCGAGUAGAACCCAGGCGGCCAUUGUCGAGUCGUCGGCAUGCCCCAAUACAACUGCUACAUUGGGUCGGGUGCCUCGAUCUGCCAGGCAUGUUCAUAGUUAGAGACGGCACGAGCCUCGUGCCAGCCCCACCUCACCUUGUUGAAACUGAGGAGGCCGAUGCCGAUUCGGUAGCUAUGCGCCCGAAAGGAGACGGAGAACUCGCAACUGGGAAGAAGACCAAAGUGUGGGGGAUGAAAUUUGACCUCCAACCGGAUCAUUGGCUUUUAGCAUAACCAGAUCGUAAUCGAUUACAACCACUCAAUUGGCAAGCGAACCUGAAAGGCAACAGCUUGUUGACUCACGACAUGAGUACCAUCGUCUGCACCAAGUGUCCCAUGCUUACUUCUUCAUGGAAGAAGCAAUCCCCAGGUGCAUGACGAUAUGAUGAGAGAGAUUUCGGUAUGUAUGGAGUUUUUUUUAAUUUAAUAUUUUGUAUUUUUAUUUAUUAAAUGCAUUUUUUAAGCUAACACACUUUUUUUUUGUUUAUUUCAGACCAAUGUAUCCAUCGACAUGCACCACCUGGGUACGAAAGAGUACAUACACCGGGUGUGGGCUAAGCGGUACAAGGAGUGGAAGUAUGAGAUGCACUUGUACUACAAUACUUAUGCAUUUCCUGUUGAAGCUUCUAUCGAUCACCCCCAGAGUUUGUGAAGAGGAUUGCCAAGUGGGAGUGGUUAUGUGGUCAUUUUCAGAGCCUGAUAUUUUUGUUGAUGAUGGACGGGGUUGGGUGAAGAAAAGGCAAAACGGCCUAGGAGCGGGUUGGAUCGGGUUCGAGAUCUCGGAAAGUCUUCUUCAUCUAGUUGUCUGACUACGUGCAAGGUGUCUUCCAGACUAUAGUAGUUGGAGAUGGAGCUAGCAGUCGUGCCAACGAGGAUAAGAAGCUAAAGAAGAAGCGUGCCAACGAGAAUAAGUUGUGUGCCAUCAAGAAAAAGCUCGGGAGGCAGUCAUGCACUAACGAGAUGAGGGCCUUCUGCUUACAUUGAUGGGAUAGCCCAAACAAUGUCAGCCUCUUGCAUUUGCCUUCUUAAUCCUUCGAGUGACCUUCAGCCACCAUCCCACCAGCCACCCAGUAGUCAUACUUAGUUUAGUAUUUUACAUAUAAUUGUAUGAAUAUUUUAUUUAUAAUAAUCUAAAAUUUUAAAAUAAAUCAAAAUAUUAAAGAAUAGAAUAAAUAAUAUUUAAUUUAAA